rnacentral:rRNA from 1 species
AAGUACACAUAAGGGCACACGGUGGAUGCCUUGGCAGAAAACGCUGAUGAAGGACGUCGCAGCCUGCGAUAAGCUCCGGGGAGGUGGCAAGCAACCUUUGAUCCGGAGAUCUCCGAAUGGGGUAACCCGUUACGACGGAAGGUCGUGACAUCGUCCGCUGAAUACAUAGGCGUACGAAAGGCACCUGGGGAAGUGAAACAUCUCAGUACCCAGAGGAAAAGAAACAACAAGCGCUGAUUACUCGAACGAGUCCGCCUUCCAUGGUGGGAUCGUUCGAGAUAAUCAGCUGGAUUCCCCGAGUAGUGGCGAGCGAAAGGGGAUGAGCCGAAACGCAUGACGUGGUUCGCCGGACUGAGUUUGAUCGCAAGAUUGAGCCGCAGCCGGAUGAAUAAAGGUGUAGGCCGUUGCGUCAUGCGGGUUGCAGGACAGUGAUGUCGGAUCCCUACUGAUCCGGGAAGAGGAAAGCCCGAUGAGGGCACGCGUUUGAAGCAGAACGGUCUGGAAAGGCCGGCCAGAGCGGGUGACAGCCCCGUAUGCGAAUCUUACGAUGCUUCUUCUGUCAUUGUUCCUUAGUACUACGGGUCUCGGGAAAGCCUGUAGGAAUCCGCCACGACUAUGUGGCAAGGCUAAAUACGUUUUCUGACCGAUAGUGAACCAGUACCGUGAGGGAACGGUUAAAAGCAGCCCGGGAGGGCGAUGAAAUAGUAUCUGAAACCGUGUGCUUACAAGGAGUCGGAGCCCCGCAAGGGGUGACGGCGUUCCUAUUGAAGAAUGAGCCAACGAGUAUGCUGUGCGUUGCUGCAGUUAAAUCCUACGGGAUGAAGCUGAAGCGAAAGCGAGUCUGAAUAGGGCGUUUUCACUUCUGUGUUCCGUUCCGCCUCCGGGCGGGAUGGUGCACAGAAUGUGAACGGUAGCGCAUACAUGGCCCGAAACCCGGUGAGCUAACCAUGGCCAGGAUGAAGUCCCACGAAAGUGGGAUGGAGGUCCGAACCAGUGACCCGUGCAACAGUCUUGGAUGAGCUGUGGUUAGAGGUGAAAUUCCAAUCGAACUGGGUAAUAGCUGGUUCUCCCCGAAAUAGCUUGUGGGCUAGCGUCGGUUAAUAGCGUGCGGGGGGUAGAGCACUGAAUGGAACCUGGUGGAGCAAUCCUACAGGUACCAACCAAACUCCGAAUACCCGUACGUGUUCCCGGCAGUCAGAGCAUGGGGGCUAAGCUCCAUCGCUCAAAAGGGAAACAGCCCUUGAUCUCCGUCUAAGGUCCCUAAAUUGCAGUUCAGUGUCAAAGGAGGUGUCGUGACUCAGACAACCAGGAGGUUGGCUUAGAAGCAGCCAUCCUUUAAAGAAAGCGUAACAGCUCACUGGUUCAGUCGCUUCGCGCCGAAAAUAUACCGGGGCUUAAACUGCAUACCGAAGACGAGGGCCGCACGAUUUACUUCGUGCGGCGGUAGGGGAGCGUUCCGAACAGCUGUGAAGUCGUGGCGUGAGCCGCGGUGGAGCGUUCGGAAGUGCGAAUGUUGGCAUAAGUAGCAAAAAGACGGGUGAGAACCCCGUCCUCCGUAAACCCAAGGUUUCCUGGGCAACGCAAAUCGUCCCAGGGUGAGCCGGUCCUAAGGUGAGGGCGAGUGCCGUAACCGAUGGAUGAGCAGGUGAAUAUUCCUGCGCUACGGUGGUGUUAUGUUCGAGGGGACACAUCGCAAAAUCUUCCGUGCCUUUUGGCUAUAGGCAUGGGUGGCGGCAAGCCGGUCCUUUGGUAAAUCCGGGGACGGAACGCAAGCCGCUGCACGCAGUGCGCCGCGAGGCGCGCAAUGGGAGAGGAUGUGGUGUCUAGAAAAGCCUCGUUCUUACGCAUCAUCGUACCCGUACCGUAAUCCGACACAGGUGGGUGGGCAUAAGUGUGCCAAGGAGUACGAGAGAACCCUCGUUCAGGAACUCGGCAAUACAACGGCCGUAACUUCGGGAUAAGGCCUCCCCAUCGCAAGAUGGGGCGCAGCGAAAGACGCUUAGCGACUGUUUACCAAAAACACAGCUCUCUGCGAAACCGCAAGGUGAUGUAUAGAGAGUGAUGCCUGGCCAGUGUCAGAACGUUAAGGCGAGGGGUCAUGGGCGCAAGCCCGGCAGCUCCGAACCGAAGCGCUGAUGAACGCCGGCGGUAACUAUAACCGUCCUAAGGUAGCGAAAUUCCUUGUCGGGUGAGUUCCGACCUGCACGAAUGGCAUAACGACUGAGCGACUGUCUUAACGAGGGACUCGGCGAAAUUGCAAGGUGAGUGAAGAUGCUCACUACCCGUGGUUAGACGAAAAGACCCCAUGAAGCUUUACUAUAGCUUGGUAUUGGGUUCACGUUUCACAUGUUCAGCGUAGGUGGGAGCUUCGGCACCAAUGAGACACCACCCUUGUGUUACGCGAAUUCUAAUCUCGCGCCGUUAUCCGGUGUGGGAGACAGUAUCUGGUGGGUAGUUUGACUGGGGCGGUCGCCUCCUAAAUGGUAACGGAGGCGUUUACAAAGGUCGGCUUAGCUCCGAUGGAAACGGAGCUGGACGUGCAAACGCAAAAGCCGGCUUUACUGCAAGACCUACAAGUCGAGCAGUCGCGAAAGCGGAAGUUAGUGAUCCGACCGUUCGUUAUAGGACGGCGGAAGCUCAUCGGACAAAAGCUACUCUGGGGAUAACAGGCUGAUCGGGUCCAAGAGUCCACAUCGACGACCCGGUUUGGCACCUCGAUGUCGGCCCGUCGCAUCCUGGGGGUGGAGAAGCUCCCAAGGGUUUGGCUGUUCGCCAAUUAAAGCGGCACGCGAGCUGGGUUCAGAACGUCGUGAGACAGUUCGGUCUCCUAUCUACCACGGGCGCGGAAACUUGAGAGGGCGCACCUCUAGUACGAGAGGACCGAGGUGCACGAACCUCUUGUGUACGAGCUGUCCUGCCAAGGGCACUGCUCGGUAGCGAAGUUCGGAACGGAUAAACGCUGAAAGCAUCUAAGCGUGAAGCCGUCCUCAAGAUUAGGUUUCAGUAUGAGACUCCCGGGAGAUGACCGGGUUGAACGGCGGCAGGUGUACGGACCGCAAGGUCUUCAGCCGAGCCGUACGUAUAAGUC